rnacentral:rRNA from 1 species
UGCCAGCCGCCGCGGUAAUACGGAAAGUGCAAACAUUGUUCGGAAUUAUUGGGCGUAAAGCGCGUGUAAGCGGUUCGUUAAGUCUGAUGUGAAAGCCCGGGGCUCAACCCCGGAAGUGCAUUGGAAACUGGCGAACUUGAGUACGGGAGAGGAAAGUGGAAUUCCGAGUGUAGGGGUGAAAUCCGUAGAUAUUCGGAGGAACACCAGUGGCGAAGGCGGCUUUCUGGACCGAUACUGACGCUGAGACGCGAAAGCGUGGGGAGCAAACAGGAUUAGAUA